GCAAAACAAAAUCCGGGUUUAAACCCGCGACCCUUAGGAUGAUAAAAGAUAUCUAUGAUCAGGCUACGACAAACAGUAAGAAGACAAUAUAGAAUUAUUUAACAUAAUAUAUAAUAUCCGCAUAAUAACAGAACUUCAAAAAGCUCCAAUUUCGAAACUUAGUCAGUCCGCAAAAUUCUGAUUUCACCAUUGUUUUUAAAUAGGC